UGGGGAAUAUUGGACAAUGGGCGAAAGCCUGAUCCAGCCAUGCCGCGUGUGUGAAGAAGGUCUUCGGAUUGUAAAGCACUUUAAGUUGGGAGGAAGGGCAGUAAGCGAAUACCUUGCUGUUUUGACGUUACCGACAGAAUAAGCACCGGCUAACUCUGUGCUAGCAGCCGCGGUAAUACAGAGGGUGCAAGCGUUAAUCGGAAUUACUGGGCGUAAAGCGCGCGUAGGUGGUUCGUUAAGUUGAAUGUGAAAGCCCCGGGCUCAACCUGUGAACUGCAUCAAAAACUGGCAGGCUAAAGUAGAGAAGAUGGUGGUGGAAUUUCCUGUGUGGCGGUGAAAUACGUAGCUAUAGGAAGGACCACCAGUGGCGUAGGCGACCACCUGGGCUCAUACUGACACUGAGGUGCGAAAGCGUGGGGAGCAAACAGG
rnacentral:rRNA from 1 species